rnacentral:lncRNA from 1 species
CAAAGUUUCUGACUGUUUCUGUCUCUUCUUUCUUAAUGUUUGCCUUUUUUUUUUUUUUCCUAGCAGUUAAGUUUGAUGUUAAUGGAAAACCCAUUUAAAACAAUGAUUACCCUAUGAAGAAAAAGUGAGUGCACUCAAGUGGAAACGGAAGACUUAUCGAUCAGUUUUCAGAUUUUAACAGUAUUUGUUGUUUCUUUGGACAGAAGAAAGCCAAACUUGAUGCCCACAGUGUUCUAUUGCAUCUAUAGCAGCAAGUGGACAGUGGCUGAUACAAUGGAAUGCUGCAGAUUCCUCCGCAGAAAAUAGGAGCUGCCAAUACAUGUCAAAUAACCUCCAAGUAAAAGUAUAGGCACAUCAAAAGCUUUCUGAUCAACCCUUUUCUCUCUCGGUGUUUUCCUCCCGGAUGUGCCGCUUGGCAAGGAAGGGCAGUGAGCGGAAAGGAGACGGCAGGGCCGGGCGGCAGGCUGCAGGCCUCGCCAGCUCUGCAGCCUUG